AAAGAAUGUCUCCGAGAGUACAAUGAGAGCAUGUAUCAAGAUUCCAACAAGUCAUUCAGUCUCAAGUAUUAUGAAGAAAACAUUAUCAGUGUCUGCAAAUGUAACCUUCAGGGAGGAGAAUGUAGAAAAAUAUUUUUUGGUCUUCCAAGUAACCUCCAUCAUCUAUGUAAUGGGACAAGAGUUUCUCUGAAGAACCAAACCAUGACAGUGACAAAUGCAACCAAGGCACAUGAAGGCAUCUAUAGAAUAACAUCAUAUCUUUCUGGACAGGACUUAGUAAAAGUACAUCUAACUAUUUUUGAUCCUCCUCCUACGGAUGUAACACCCACAUCUGACGUGAGCCUAUGGCCUGGAUCCACGGCAUCUCCUUCCGGAAGCAAUGGUCCACAUCUUCACCUUGGCUUACCAGCUGUCAUUGCUGCUAUCAUAAUCUGCAUCAUCAUUGUAGUAGCAAUGGGCUGUGGCUGUGGCGCAGCUGUUGAGCAGCUGCCUUAAAUCACUCUGACCAUGAGGUCAUGAAUUCGAGGCCAGCCCGUGGCGGGGUGAGCACCCGUCAAUUAAAAAUAAAAAAAUAGCCCCUGCUCGUUGCUGACCUAGCAACCCGAAAGAUAGUUGCAUCUAUCAAGUAGGAGAUAAGGUACCACUUAUAAAAAGUGGGGAGGCAAGAUUAACUAAUUUACGACCUGGUAUGAGGAAGUGCCGUCAGUGUGGAUGAUGAAGCAGCUGCUCCCCCCUGUGGCCAGAAUCGAACAUCCCCUCAGAAAAACGUUAACUUGCCUCUGCGUGUGUCUCUCAGUCUCUGUUUGGUGUGUUUAUGGGCAUUGAAUGUUUACCCUAUGUGUGUUAUAAUGUGAUCCGCCCUGAGUCCCCUUCGGGGUGAGAAGGGCGGAAUAUAAAUACUGUAAAUAAAUAAAUAAAUAAAUAAAUAAUAGUAGCUGUAAGGUGUUGCUGUAAACAAAAGUGGAUCAAAUGCUUUGAGAAAAACAAUUCUCAGUGUGACUAUACUGCAGCACCUCAGUCUGCUUCAACUGUAGAGUCUGUGUUAGACAUGAAUGGAUUUGGACAACAUCAUCCACAGAAAUCCCAACUCGUCUCUGAAUCAGAAGUAUGAUGGAGCAAUUGGAUGAAAAUGUUCUGUAACUUAGCAACACACAGUGACGCUUCUGGCUUAAACAUCUCUUCAUCCAAUUUGGUUGGUAUACACUGGUUGCAGCCCCUCUUAGAAAAAUAAGGCUGCCACAAUUCACUGUGUCAUGCUAUAAGGUAGUAGAGCAGGUUACUAGGGGCGCAUCUACACUGUAGAAUCAAUGUGCUUUAACACUACUUUUGUUGCCAUGGCUCCAUGCUGCGAAAUCAGGGGUGUUCUAGUUUGUCAAGGUCUUUAGGUUUCUCUAAGUGCUGGUGCUAUAUUAAGUUAAGAACCCCAAGAGUCCAUAUCAUUAGGUCAUUGGUAUCUGGUCCCACCCACAGGGCAGGGCACACACUUGACUUGGUUUUCUGCCAGGGAUGGGAGGAAGGGGGCGGUGUGGAGGAGGUCACCAUUGCUCCGUUGCCAUGGACCGACCAUCACCUGAUCAGGUUUAGACUUACUGCGCCCCCCAACCUCCACAGGGGUGGAGGACCUACUAGUGCUGGUUUUGACCUACAAGGCCCUAAACGGUUCUGGUCCAACUUACCUGUCCGAACGUAUCUCCUCCUAUGAACCAUCAAGAACACUAAGAUCGUCUGGAGAGGCCCUGCUCUCGGUCCCACCUGCUUCACAGGCGCGGCUGGUGGGAAUGAGAGACAGGGCCUUCUCGGUGGUGGCUCCCCGGCUGUGGAACUCCCUCCCUAGUAACAUCCGGCAGGCCCCAACUCUCCUGGGCUUCAGGAAGAACGUUAAGACAUGGCUUUGUGUGCAAGCAUUUAAUGAAUAAGCAAUAUAUUGACAUGGUCUGAAUUUAGGUUUAUGUGCAAUGGUUCCGUGGAAAAGUGGUUUUAAGUAACUAUAUGUUUUAGCUGACUAAUGUAUUUUAUGUAUUUUAUGUGUUGUAUUUUAUGAAUAGUUGUUAAUGGUUUUAAAUGUGUUGCUGUUUUAUUGAUCUGUUUGGCAUUGAAUUUUGCCGGUUGUUGUAAGCCGCCCUGAGUCCCCUCGGGUGAGAAGGGCGGGGUAGAAAUGUUGUAAAUAAAUAAAUAAUAAAUGAUGGUUAAAGUAGUGUCAAACUGCAUUAAUUUUACAAUGUAGAUGCAUCCUAGAUUUAUAACUAGAGGAAUUUGGCAACUUAUCGGGUUUCUAAAUAAAUACAAAAAGUCAAUGCUCCUAACAAAAAUAUAACCAAGUAAAAGAUGGAAAACUUAAAGAACUCUCUGGACUUCAAGUUACCAAUAAACUCCGUUAUUUAGGCAACAUUAUUACGAUAAAAAACUCCCAACUCCUAAGUAACAAUUAUGAAAGAAAAUGGAAAGAAAUUAAGAAAGACCUCGAAAAUUGGAAAAAUCUGAACCUAUCACUAUUAGGAAG